CCUCCUUUUCUUGGCGGGGACCGGGGGCGUGCGGUCCCGUUCCCCCCCGUAAUGUACAGAGGUAGAAGAAAGGGCUCCGGUCCUCUCAGCAUCAUGUCUUCAGUGCUUGAGGCCUCCCAUUCGCCGGUUCUAUCCUCAGACGCCGGAACACCU